UACGAAGGGGGCGAGCGUUGUUCGGAAUUACUGGGCGUAAAGGGCGCGCAGGCGGCUCUGAAAGUCAGAUGUGAAAGCCCCGGGCUUAACCUGGGAACUGCAUUUGAUACUCUAGAGCUUGAGUACGGGAGAGGAGAGUGGAAUUCCCAGUGUAGAGGUGAAAUUCGUAGAUAUCGGGAGGAACACCGGUGGCGAAGGCGGCGAUCUGGGUAGAUACUGACGCUGAGGUGCGAAAGCGUGGGGAGCAAACAGG
rnacentral:rRNA from 1 species